GACGAACGCUGGCGGCGUGCUUAACACAUGCAAGUCGAGCGGUAAGGCCCUUUCGGGGGUACACGAGCGGCGAACGGGUGAGUAACACGUGGGUGACCUACCCUCAGCUCUGGGAUAAGCCUGGGAAACUGGGUCUAAUACUGGAUAUGACUCCACGGUGCAUGUCGUGGGGUGGAAAGCCUUGUGCGGCUGAGGAUGGGCCCGCGGCCUAUCAGCUUGUUGGUGGGGUGAUGGCCUACCGAGGCGACGACGGGUAGCCGGCCUGAGAGGGCGACCGGCCACACUGGGACUGAGACACGGCCCAGACUCCUACGGGAGGCAGCAGUGGGGAAUCUUGCGCAAUGGGCGAAAGCCUGACGCAGCGACGCCGCGUGAGGGAUGACGGCCU
rnacentral:rRNA from 1 species